AGAGUUUGAUCCUGGCUCAGGACGAACGCUGGCGGCGUGCCUAAUACAUGCAAGUCGAACGCUUCUUUUUCCACCGGAGCUUGCUCCACCGGAAAAAGAGGAGUGGCGAACGGGUGAGUAACACGUGGGUAACCUGCCCAUCAGAAGGGGAUAACACUUGGAAACAGGUGCUAAUACCGUAUAACAAUCGAAACCGCAUGGUUUUGAUUUGAAAGGCGCUUUCGGGUGUCGCUGAUGGAUGGACCCGCGGUGCAUUAGCUAGUUGGUGAGGUAACGGCUCACCGAGGCGACGAUGCAUAGCCGACCUGAGAGGGUGAUCGGCCACAUUGGGACUGAGACACGGCCCAAACUCCUACGGGAGGCAGCAGUAGGGAAUCUUCGGCAAUGGACGAAAGUCUGACCGAGCAACGCCGCGUGAGUGAAGAAGGUUUUCGGAUCGUAAAACUCUGUUGUUAGAGAAGAACAAGGAUGAGAGUAACUGUUCAUCCCUUGACGGUAUCUAACCAGAAAGCCACGGCUAACUACGUGCCAGCAGCCGCGGUAAUACGUAGGUGGCAAGCGUUGUCCGGAUUUAUUGGGCGUAAAGCGAGCGCAGGCGGUUUCUUAAGUCUGAUGUGAAAGCCCCCGGCUCAACCGGGGAGGGUCAUUGGAAACUGGGAGACUUGAGUGCAGAAGAGGAGAGUGGAAUUCCAUGUGUAGCGGUGAAAUGCGUAGAUAUAUGGAGGAACACCAGUGGCGAAGGCGGCUCUCUGGUCUGUAACUGACGCUGAGGCUCGAAAGCGUGGGGAGCAAACAGGAUUAGAUACCCUGGUAGUCCACGCCGUAAACGAUGAGUGCUAAGUGUUGGAGGGUUUCCGCCCUUCAGUGCUGCAGCUAACGCAUUAAGCACUCCGCCUGGGGAGUACGACCGCAAGGUUGAAACUCAAAGGAAUUGACGGGGGCCCGCACAAGCGGUGGAGCAUGUGGUUUAAUUCGAAGCAACGCGAAGAACCUUACCAGGUCUUGACAUCCUUUGACCACUCUAGAGAUAGAGCUUCCCCUUCGGGGGCAAAGUGACAGGUGGUGCAUGGUUGUCGUCAGCUCGUGUCGUGAGAUGUUGGGUUAAGUCCCGCAACGAGCGCAACCCUUAUUGUUAGUUGCCAUCAUUUAGUUGGGCACUCUAGCAAGACUGCCGGUGACAAACCGGAGGAAGGUGGGGAUGACGUCAAAUCAUCAUGCCCCUUAUGACCUGGGCUACACACGUGCUACAAUGGGAAGUACAACGAGUCGCAAAGUCGCGAGGCUAAGCUAAUCUCUUAAAGCUUCUCUCAGUUCGGAUUGUAGGCUGCAACUCGCCUACAUGAAGCCGGAAUCGCUAGUAAUCGCGGAUCAGCACGCCGCGGUGAAUACGUUCCCGGGCCUUGUACACACCGCCCGUCACACCACGAGAGUUUGUAACACCCGAAGUCGGUGAGGUAACCUUUUGGAGCCAGCCGCCUAAGGUGGGAUAGAUGAUUGGGGUGAAGUCGUAACAAGGUAGCCGUAUCGGAAGGUGCGGCUGGAUCACCU
rnacentral:rRNA from 1 species